GGCUCAGGAUGAACGCUGGCGGCGUGCUUAACACAUGCAAGUCGAACGAUGAUCUCCAGCUUGCUGGGGGGAUUAGUGGCGAACGGGUGAGUAACACGUGAGUAACCUGCCCUUGACUCUGGGAUAAGCCUGGGAAACUGGGUCUAAUACUGGAUACGACCUUCCAUCGCAUGGUGGUUGGUGGAAAGCUUUUGUGGUUUUGGAUGGACUCGCGGCCUAUCAGCUUGUUGGUGGGGUAAUGGCCUACCAAGGCGACGACGGGUAGCCGGCCUGAGAGGGUGGACGGCCACACUGGGACUGAGACACGGCCCAGACUCCUACGGGAGGCAGCAGUGGGGAAUAUUGCACAAUGGGCGCAAGCCUGAUGCAGCGACGCCGCGUGAGGGAUGAAGGCCUUCGGGUUGUAAACCUCUUUCAGUAGGGAAGAAGCG
rnacentral:rRNA from 1 species